UCCCUGGCAGUCCAAUGGUUAGGACUCUGCACUUCUACUGUCAAAGGCCUGGGUUCAAUUCCUGCUCAGGGAA
rnacentral:tRNA from 1 species